AGAGUUUGAUCAUGGCUCAGGAUGAACGCUAGCUACAGGCUUAACACAUGCAAGUCGAGGGGCAGCGGGAUUGAAGCUUGCUUCAAUUGCCGGCGACCGGCGCACGGGUGAGUAACGCGUAUCCAACCUUCCGUACACUCAGGGAUAGCCUUUCGAAAGAAAGAUUAAUACCUGAUGGUAUGAUGAAAUUGCAUGAUAGCAUCAUUAAAGAUUUAUCGGUGUACGAUGGGGAUGCGUUCCAUUAGGUAGUAGGCGGGGUAACGCCCACCUAGCCUACGAUGGAUAGGGGUUCUGGAGAGGAAGGUCCCCCANAUUGGAACUGAGACACGGUCCAAACUCCUACGGGAGCA
rnacentral:rRNA from 1 species